AUACUUACCUGGUGCCGGGGCCUCGUUGAUCAUCGAGGACAUGCCUCUAGGGCGGGCAUUGCACUGCGCUUGCGUUGAGCUCUGCCGCUACCCCAAAUUGGGGCAGAUGGGCACGCCAAUUUCUUAAAUCCGGUUCAACGCAAGAGAGGGCGCCGA
rnacentral:snRNA from 1 species